CACGUAGGCACCAAGCGUUAUCCGGAUUUAUUGGGCGUAAAGAGCUCGUAGGCGGUUCGGUAAGUCGGGUGUGAAAACUCUGGGCUCAACCCAGAGAGGCCACCCGAUACUGCUGUGAUUAGAGUGCGGUAGGGGAGCGGGGAAUUCCUGGUGUAGCGGUGAAAUGCGCAGAUAUCAGGAGGAACACCGAUGGCGAAGGCAGAUCUCUGGGCCGUAACUGACGCUGAGGAGCGAAAGCGUGGGGAGCGAACAGG
rnacentral:rRNA from 1 species